rnacentral:rRNA from 1 species
AACCGGAUUAGAUACCCGGGUAGUCCUAGGUGUAAACGCUGUGGAUUUGGUGUGUGGGGUCCGCAAUGGGCCCCAUGUGCCGGAGUGAAGAUGUUAAAUCCACUGCCUGGGGAGUACGGUCGCAAGGCUGAAACUUAAAGGAAUUGGCGGGGGAGCACCGCAACGGGAGGAGCGUGCGGUUUAAUUGGAUUCAACGCCGGAAAACUCACCAAGGCCGACUGUUAGAUGAAGAUCAGCGUAACGAGCUUAUCGGAUUAUCAGAGAGGUGGUGCAUGGCCGUCGUCAGUUCGUACUGUAAAGCGUUCUGUUAAGUCAGAUAACGAACGAGACCCGCAUCCCUAUUUGCGACCCUCAUGUCCGCAUGAGGCGCACCAUAGGGAGAUCGCUGGUGUGAAACCAGAUGAGAGCGCGGGCAACGACAGGUCAGUAUGCCCCGAAUGUCUUGGGCUACACGCGCGCUACAAAGGACAGGACAAUGGGAAGCCACGCCGAGAGGCGGCGCUACCCCGAAACCUGUUCGUAGUUCGGAUCGAGGGCUGUAACUCGCCCUCGUGAAGCUGGAUUCCGUAGUAAUCGUGUUUCAA